rnacentral:misc_RNA from 1 species
GAUGAAGAACGUGGCGAAAUGCGAUAAGUAAUGUGAAUUGCAGAAUUCAGUGAAUCAUCGAAUCUUUGAACGCACAUUGCGCCCGCCAGUAUUCUGGCGGGCAUGCCUGUUCGAGCGUCAUUACAACCCUCAGGCCCCCGGGCCUGGCGUUGGGGAUCGGCGGAGCCCCCCGUGGGCACACGCCGUCCCCCAAAUGCAGUGGCGGUCCCGCCGCAGCUUCCAUCGCGUAGUAGCUAACACCUCGCGACUGGAGAGCGGCGCGGCCACGCCGUAAAACACCCAACUCUUCUGAAGUUGACCUCGAAUCAGGUAGGAAUACCCGCUGAACUUAAGCAUAUCAAUAAGCGGAGGA